CGGGCCCGGCGCUGGAGCGGGCGGCGUGGUCCGCCCGGGGAAGGGUAUUCUGUGUUCCUGACUUGCAUUUUGGUUUAUUCCGGUGCUCGAGGGCAGCCGUUGAUUGUGAAUGUUUUAGUAAUCCUAAAAUAGAACCGAGUAGUUCUGGGAGAGGGGUAUAAGGAGUUAGUGUUGAAUGGAUGCAGAGUUUCUUUUGGGGAAGAUGAACAAAUUCUGGAGAUGGAUGGUGGACACGGUGCGCAACAAUGUGAACGGGUUAAUGCCUCUGCGCUGCACGCUGAAAAACGGCUAACCUGCCCUUCUCUUCCAGAAAGUGCUGAAGGUGACAAAUCGAUGAACAGGAAGCAAAUAUUCACAGAAAAGCUGGAAAACAGCUGACCUUCCUCGGGCAGCUGCAUGUUUCUUAGGAAAGACUUCUGUGGCCUGCAUAUGUUGCACAGAGUAGCCACUGAUUACUGUUUCCCAGUGAGGGGAAAAUUGUCAUAUCCUUUAAUGCAGGUAAAAUUGUGAACGAGCUCAUGAUGCAAAAAAAAAAAAGUGUAUUUUCAAAAUGUAUCUCCUAGCGUUAUAGGGGUAGUAGCACCAAGACAUUGGCAAUUCCAUUAUCCUCACAAGUUGGAGAAAUGCUGCCACUGAUACUCAAAUUGUGUAAAUGCCUAAGUGGGAGGCGCUCUGUGUUGGGGAUACAAUUGUGAGUAAAGAAUGUAAGAUUCUUGCCAUCUAAGAAUUACAGUGAACAGGGGCAACAUUCAG
rnacentral:lncRNA from 1 species